AACGAACGCUGGCGGCAUGCCUAACACAUGCAAGUCGAACGAUCCCUUCGGGGAUAGUGGCGCACGGGUGCGUAACGCGUGGGAACCUGCCCUUAGGUUCGGAAUAACUCAGAGAAAUUUGAGCUAGUACCGGAUAAUGUCUUCGGACCAAAGAUUUAUCGCCUUUGGAUGGGCCCGCGUCGGAUUAGCUAGUUGGUGGGGUAAAGGCCUACCAAGGCGACGAUCCAUAGCUGGUCUGAGAGGAUGAUCAGCCACACUGGGACUGAGACACGGCCCAGACUCCUACGGGAGGCAGCAGUGGGGAAUAUUGGACAAUGGGCGAAAGCCUGAUCCAGCAAUGCCGCGUGAGUGAUGAAGGCCUUAGGGUUGUAAAGCUCUUUUACCCGGGAUGAUAAUGACAGUACCGGGAGAAUAAGCCCCGGCUAACUCCGUG
rnacentral:rRNA from 1 species